UACAGAGGGGGCUAGCGUUAUUCGGAAUUAUUGGGCGUAAAGGGCGCGUAGGCGGCCAUGCGUGUCUUCCGUGAAAUCCCUCGGCUUAACUGAGGACGUGCGGAAGAAACUGCAAGGCUCGAGUCCGGGAGAGGGGGGUGGAAUUCCCAGUGUAGCGGUGAAAUGCGUAGAUAUUGGGAGGAACACCGGUGGCGAAGGCGGCCCCCUGGACCGGAACUGACGCUGAGGCGCGAGAGCGUGGGUAGCAAACGGG
rnacentral:rRNA from 1 species